UUUUACGGGCCGUCUCCCGUUCUCUAGCAGUCCGCUGAGAGGAGAGUAGCAGAAUCUGACAUCCUGCACUGCCCGGAUUUCAUUUGAAUUCCCUCCCACUCGAGAGGCCAACACGGGGUCACUUGAUCUGGGACCAGGACGGAAAUCAAACAGCCUGGCUUCAGGGGGAGACCUCCCCCCCACUCCUCCCCUGGACUGCCGCAUUGGAAGUCCAUCACCGGGUCACAGCCUCAAUCCGUCACUGUCGGCUGCAGCUAUCAAGAGCAGGUCCAAGGAGGGGACGGGAGUGACUCAGGACUGCGGCGCUCCAGUUCAGUCUUCGGGGUCGGACGCUUGAUGAAUCUGUUGUUGUAUUUUUUAUUUUUUUUCUCCUCGUCCAGUGCCCUCAUUAAAUCUACACCAGCCGCACGGCAGAUGAUGCGGUUUGAAGAUGAGUUGCUUUGAAACAAACAGCAUGUGAACUGCAAAUCAAUUUUCAAGCACAAGUUUGUUAUAUUUUCAUUACAUGAAUUUUGAUGCGAUUUGAAAUGCAAAUAUAUGGCCUGUUCUUCCUGGUACACAACAAGACUAAAUCUUUGCCAAGACCGGCAAUCAAACAGCUUAGUGCACUAAAAAAGAUCCCCCCCGGCCUCCCUCCCUCCCUCCUCCACUAUCUGCAGUGAAGGUCCAGGUUAUAACCUCAAUCCCUCACUCUGAGGUUGGAGACGGACUGUGUUCACUUUCCAUUUAGCCACCUCUUAUGUGCUCUGAAUUCAGACUGAGAUUGCAUACCAGGAACCUUGAAGUCUUUGAGUUAAUCCAGAGUGAAUAUAGACCUUUGAAUAUAUUUUUUCUCACCUGGCAUCCGCUUGAAACUACAUUCCGAUUUUCUGGCAGGAGUCUGUAACUUUGUACAUGCCGUAAAUCAAUGGUCUGUUUUAACCACCCACCACUCCUCUAAUUUAAGGGUUGUGCCAUCACAGAGGAGCACAGCAUUUCAAAUUCUGGCUAUGUUCACAUGUUAUUUUUGCUCUUUAAUAACAACUUUCCGCCCAGGGGUGGGAUUAUCUGUGACGAGGGGUGAACCCAGUUACACGGCAGAGAGUCUCCUUUUGGAUUUCACAGCAGACCUUUCUCUAAGGGACGAAGCUUCAAUUUUAACCUGACAGAGGGAUUCAUAUCUUUAUUUUUACCGUGAUUCUUCAGUCUGCCAAUUCCACCUGUAAUCAAAUCUCUUGAAAUGGGCAUUAGAACACUUGACAAGCUCAGUUUAACACACACUGUGACUACAUGUCCUCCUCCACAAAAGUUUUUGCGCUGCCAUAAUCCCAAAACCGACCUUUUAAUCUAAAAAUAACGGGGGCCACAACAGGAUCAAACACAAAAUGCAAAAUGAUCCUGCAGGCUUUGAACUAGUGACCGUUAUUAAAUGAUAACAGCCAGCUAUAAAUACUCAGGACAUUGAAUCUGUGGAAGGCAAUAACUUUGUGAAGGCUGUUGGAAGUCUAAAUUUAAUCCAACCUGCCCCCUACGCUCCUCUUGUUUUCUCACCCUGAGUAGAUGCUGUUUAAGUGUGAUGAUCUUUGCCAACGGGAAGGAGAAAAAAAAAAAAAAUCACACCAAACCGGCCGCAAUUGACUGCUUUGACAUGAGCAGACAUAUUAGAACAAGGAGAGAAACGCGAGGUUGUGAGUCACACUGAAAAGCACCUCGACACAACUACAGACGAUUGUACAAUUAAAAGUCUCAAAAGUUUCCGAGCUUUUUAAUUAACAUUAUUACUGGCUUGAGUUGGGACUGUAGCCUCGACUGGAGCUGGACGGUUUGCUAUCAGAGAGCGAUUUAAAGGACCCAUCAUAUGCCCAUUUUACCACAAGUUGAUAUGGUCCCUUGAGGUCUUAAUGAAAUGUCUGUAACAUACUUUCGGCAAAAUACCACAAGGAUCCUUAAAAACAGCACCCUGACUAAAACUAAAGCCCUCCACAGAGUGACCCGUUUUGAGUGGCUGUUCCUUUAAAUGCUGAUGAGCCGGCUCUCCGCUCUUCAGGGGCCAUGUGAGAGAGACUCCCAUUUCAUUGUGAUGACAGAAUGAUAUGGAAGUUCAUUCGCAGUCACUCAAGCAUGACAUUUCUGACUUACAAGAACCAUAACAAAUCACGGGAGUUGUUGUUUUUUCCCCCCAGAGUUUUGGGGUCGGUAGACAUGCCAAGAUAACCAAAUUAACAUGUAGAAGCACUAAAGAAGUGGAAUUUUUAUAAUAUGCCCUUUAACGUUGGAGUUCAAAAUCCCAAAGUGGUGCCUUUGUGAUUUACUUAGGGGGAUGGCAAAUGAGGAGGCCGGUCUGUCAUGAGGUGGCAGACUCAUAACUCACCAUUCCCCGGUGCUCCCCAGGAGAAAAAAGUGCCAGUUUUGUCAAGCGCUACAGAGACCCCGUGCAGACGGACUCUAGUUUGCCCCGUCUCCGGAUAGCCCUAUCGUGCAGACGAACGCACUGUAUCCGCACACUGUAUCCGCACUCCCUCGAAUCGGGGGUCCAAAGUGAGUAAACUCAAAAUCCGAUUGCUGUUGGUGUUCGUCUGCACGCUAUCCGCAUAAUCGGACUGCCCCACGUGAUUGCAUCACGUGAUUGCAUGCAACCUCACGCUGAACCCUUAUUAACCCCAAUGCGUCACUUCAUAACAACGACAACAAUGGCGAACGCAAGGAUAAUGUGCCUGCUGAAUGUGCUAACAAGUCUACAAUGCGUACUACGGGAAUAUCGUCAGAUCUUUUCGUUUGUAUACGGCGCGCAUGUCUUAUACGCAUGCUCCUGUCUUCUCCUUCCGUUUUCUUCAGUUGUCUGUAGCACCUUAAAGCGCCACCAACAGGCGUGGGGGAUGUACUACAGCGGAGUCAAUCGGAUUCACUGGGUUCAUGUGCACGCAAAGUGGGUAGGUGUGAAAAAUGAACCCGGGUUCAGGCAAACUAGAGUCCGUCUGCAUGGGGUCAGAGUUGGAGAAACCCCUUUGCAACGGGCAUCUUGGAUCCAUCGGGACAGGUCACAUUCUAUUCAUACAUUUCCAAAGCUUCUUAAAGCUUGAGAUGUUGUUCAAGAGGAUUCACUUUCACUCCACUACCCCCCCCCACCGCGCCAAGAGCUUCUGGAUCCUUUACAUCUGAGACUUAAAGGUUGGGGAAACAAAGGGUCUUCUAGUGUGUCAUUGUUCAUUAUCUGACUUUCCAGGGAGAGUCAUUUACUGCAUACUGAUGUAGGGCCCAAAGUCCAAAGGCAACAGAUGUAUCAUAUCCCAUCAAAAACCAGUAAUAAUUGGCCUCAAAAACACAGUAUAAAACAGGCGAUCCUUGGUCCGAAACACCAGAGGUGAAGUUAGUUGCAGUUCCAACGUGAUUGAUACUUUCGAUAUUCUUAAAGGAUUUGCAGUCUUAAAGCUUUUGUAGCAGCAAAGUCUUGAUGCUCAUUACAGACAGCAGCAGAGCCAGAAAGAUAUCUGCCACUGGUACUUUUGGGGGCUUUUGUGCUUAUAGUAUUUAUUUUUGUGGUUUUUACAGCAGUGUGAAGGCAGGCUUGUAAUGUUGCUCCAAUUAUAUGGUCCGCCCAAAGGGAAGAGCAACGAGGCUUGCUUGAGCAUCUGCUGCUUUUUGAUGCAGUUGCUGACCUCACACUGUCUCCCCCUCUGGUGGAUUAUUUAUCAUUAAAAUAUACAGCAAAACAAAAUUCCAAGAUUAGCGCUUUCAACUAUGCAACAAUGACAUACGCACCAGUAUAACAGUUUACGUAACUGUAACGUGCCAUUUGCAGUCGGAGCUCUUCAACGAUCCCCGCUGGAAUGGGAAACCAACGCCGCGCAUGCUGUCGGAGACCCAGAGAACCAGGGAAGAGGGACAAAGGAGAACCAGAAGCAGUACUGCACUGAUUAAACUAUUAGACCCUUGUUGAAGAAAAUGCAAGGUUUUUUAGUCAUGUAGUUUGAAUUGAAAUGUUAUUUUAAAAAGAGAGAGGACCAGACACAAACUCAGAAUCAUCUAUGGAAUCAAGCAGAAGAUAUUGAGAGGAUGAGUAUUUAUAAAAUGGGUCACAGCCACUAUCCACAGUGUCAGUAUGAAGUGAGUCAUGAUGGGACCGGAUGAAGCCACAAAAGAACACACAUUAGGACAGGAAGGAAAAAUGAUCUCAUCUGUGGUUUACCAAUACUUAAAGCGCUUCUAAACAGUGAACGGUAAACAAGUGUGAAACACUCAUAACUCAAAAUAGCUUUCAACGGAUCAUCAGUUUAAAAUGAAAAUAACAUGAUCCCCUUACAUCUCAUGAUAGAUUGAAGGUUUGAGACUUAAUUUCCGUAAACGUUGUGCUGUCCAACUUUUCGAAUUGAAAAUGCAUGAAAAGAGAAGUUCCAAGUCCCUGUCUUUGUCAUUGGAUUGUGGAUUGAUAUAAUAAUCCCUGAACUUGGAGCAGGUUUUCAGAUCCCCUGUCUGACUCACUGUGAAGUCAAGACAGGUAUUGCCUCAGAAAUUCAGUAAAAAGAGACACUUGAUCCUUCGGUGUCAGCGGAAAUGUUGUAGUGCUUAAGGCAUCCCAAAUUCUUUGAUUUGACAGCUGAAUGUGUUCCCUUUCAAUCCUGUGUCUCUGAUAUUCCUAUUUGUAUUAGUGACAUUUUACCCUGGUAUCAAACUCUUUCCAAGUGUCAUUCAUACGGAAGUUUGUUAUGGGUUUUCAUUGUUCUAUCUUUUGACCUUUUAAGAUUUACAUAUUGCGUCAUUUAAAAUUAAAAAUGACAAGGACCGUGGUUCUGUAGCAGAAUUCCCAAGCACUAUGCAGGCCCAACCUUAUUUCCACUCAGUAUACAUUAUGCAAUCAAAUAGACCGGAAUAUGUUAAUGAAGCCGACUGCAUUCCAGCGUGGGUCUCCUGCCUGGGCAAACAAACAUCUGCUAGUCGGCUGAAAAGGGAAAGAGACGGUCAACAAGAAAGAUAUUCAGGCUUGGCAGGUCUCGGCCCAGAGGAUUUUUUUUUCAGCGCGGUCCUCUGGCUGAAUCACAAAAUAAAUCCGUCUUGUAUCCAGAUGGGAGAGAAGGCCAUUACAGUGGCUGCAUGGUACACAGUGCUCCUCCUGACCUAAACAACCCCAUUUGCUUAACAGAAAAAUGAGCACAAGAACAUACAGAGCUACCCAAUUUUGUACUGUAGACCUUAAAAAAGAAUUCUUUUUUUCAUGUAAUCUCUAGCCGUAAUAAUAAUAAUACCAAGGUAUUGAGAUUUGUAUAGUAAACUGGAACAAGAUGUGCAGAGCAAUGGUCUAGCAGCGGCUUUUAGCAUUUAGCCAGUGGCGGCUGGUGGACUUUUAUUUGGUAGGGCCAGACAAUCAGUUUCAGUAAACAUCGCAGGAUGAUUCAAUGCAAAAAAAUGGGUAUCAAAGACGCAUUAUUACUUUGCAGUUAAAUAUUUAAGAUUUAUUCCAACAGUUUAUUGGCCUCGACGGACCAGCCGCCACUGCAUUUAGCCAAUGCUAUGCUAACAUGCAGAUGGCUGUGUUCACCUUGUUAUAUUAGAUGUGGAUGUAGACACAGUGACGACAUACAUUGCUUCUUGCAUGUUUUGAUUCCUCAAGCUCUGCAUUUUGUUCAUGUCCAUAAACCGAGAUGCGGAUGAUGAUCUUUUUUUUUUUUUUCUUGCAUACCGAAGCGACACAAGGGAGCUAAGCUUAGAACAACCAAACGUGGAAUAUGGCAGUUUUAGUUGUUGACAUGACAACAGCAUGGUAGCAACCCACCAAUCAUAAUCGAGUCAUCUGGUUAGAAUCAUUUGCCAUUUAGAGCUGGUGGGAAUAUCAAUAUGCUUGGCAGAUUUGUUCAGAAUCAAGACCUCAUAAACGUUUCAUUUCACAGCAAUCCAUCCUAUAUUUGUUUGAGAUACGUCAGUGAAAGAGAUUUUUAUGCAUACUUAUGAAAUAUACAGCACACCCUGGUAGUCUGGAUAAAUUGUAUUGUGAAACAACAUUUCCCCAAAUGUUAUUUGGUGGAGAGGUUCGUGCAGUUCGUGCAGGGGCAUUGUCAUAGUUUUAAUGCUGAACAACCUCAAGUAAUUGGACAAACAGAUUAUUGCCUCACUAUUUGCAUUGAGUUGCAUUAAAAAGAAAGAAAAAAUCCACCUUUCUAU
ensembl:lncRNA